UGCAGACAUGCGCGAGGUCACUCAAGGUCGGUUGAUAGCCGGCAGCACCGCUUUGACGUGUGGGAUCCUGAGCUCGGGGUCUGCAUUCUC
rnacentral:ncRNA from 1 species